CUUCUCUGGUGGACUGGACGGAGGCUGAGCCUUUCAACAGGAGAAGUGGCGGAGGGAGUGGAGACUGCGGAGCCCACCGACCGGAAUGGAGGCGGUUACCGGAGAAGCAUAGGUCCGGCGUCCACCAGGAGAAGGGAGGCGGGCAGAUGUGGUGGAGACCGUGCAUCCAUCGAUGGGGAUCAAGGCGGAUCCGUUCGCGGGACAGAACCUGCGGCCUCACCUCCACCCGAGUGAUCCGGCCUUCUUGGAGGGCUUGGCGGCCUCUCUACGAACACCACAUAACCCUCGUGGCUGCCUCUGGCCAGAUGGUUCUGGAUUGUUUUUGGUUUGUUGACAUGUCCUUGCAUUUGUUCACGGUGUUUGUCUAGCCCGCCUAGCAAAACAUGUCUAAUGGUCUUUGCUUCCCUGGCCGUCCGACCAUUAAUGCUUGCGCCUUCUGUCUAGCUGUCCACAAAAAUGGCAUAUGUGCAAGAUCUUGCGUGUUGAUAAGUGGCAAGCGCACCUGUUUGAGGUACUACAGAGAUUAUGAGCAAACAAUUUGUUUCGGCCAGAUCUUCUCAUUAUCCGAGACCCAUCGGCUGUGCCUGCGACUGGCAUGCCUUCGGUGCUCAUGUCACACAGAUGACAUAGUCACUUUGCAAUCAGCAUAGCAGGUUAAGGUUUUCCACCAUAACACCCAAAGCAUCUGCAACUCUGCGUCCCUUGGGAUUAUUUCUAAUGAAUUCAUGGAACUGUUUCAGAAUACCGAACUUCAGAACCUGAAGAUGCGAACAUGUGUGAUUCUGAGAUCCUAAUUCCAAGUUGUGAAUUCCUAUUGCAAUAUGCUCUUUAGGAGGAGGAACUGAGCAAGAGGUUGCGUUGCAAAAGAACACCAUAAUUACAUUGAGAUCAACGUAUCAGGUUGGGCCAAAAGUAAGGAGUAGAAGAAUAUCUAAACGGGUGAAAGAAAGGGCCUGCACCAAAAUGUGAUAUAUUAUCUGCCAACCUACCACUUCUAAGUCUGAAGGUCCACGGUGCAUUGUAGUAUUUUGUAGUAGUUAUCAAAUAUCAAGUACCAGGCAUAAUUAUGCCUCAUCCCCCUCUUAGUUUGUUCAUGAACAUCGUGGGGCUAAUAUACUAUGUUGAAUUUCUCUGUA